ACUGGGACCUGGCUGUCCCCUGGGGAGAAACAUCCAACAGCCCUGGGCAGUUGCUGCAAAUCUAUCAUAUCACUGUGAAUUACACUGUAUUUUAAAAAAGGAAAUGCUUCAAGAGAAAGCUAAGGCAAUGUGCAAAGUCUUUGUAUCUAGUCAAAGAGACCUUAUAGGUUUUCGUAACAAUUUGACAAAACAGGUUGAGAGAACAUAAAAACUUCCGAG
rnacentral:lncRNA from 1 species